UCUGGUGGCGAUAGCGAAGAGGUCACACCCGUUCCCAUCCCGAACACGGAAGUUAAGCUCUUCAGCGCCGAUGGUAGUUGGGGGUUUCCCCCUGUGAGAGUAGGACGUUGCCAGGC
rnacentral:rRNA from 1 species